AGAGUUUGAUCCUGGCUCAGAUUGAACGCUGGCGGCAUGCCUUACACAUGCAAGUCGGACGGCAGCGCGGGGGCAACCCUGGCGGCGAGUGGCGAACGGGUGAGUAAUACAUCGGAACGUGUCCUGGAGUGGGGGAUAGCCCGGCGAAAGCCGGAUUAAUACCGCAUACGAUCCUUGGAUGAAAGCGGGGGACCGAAAGGCCUCGCGCUCAAGGAGCGGCCGAUGGCGGAUUAGCUAGUUGGUGGGGUAAAGGCCCACCAAGGCGACGAUCCGUAGCUGGUCCGAGAGGACGACCAGCCACACUGGGACUGAGACACGGCCCAGACUCCUACGGGAGGCAGCAGUGGGGAAUUUUGGACAAUGGGGGCAACCCUGAUCCAGCAAUGCCGCGUGUGUGAAGAAGGCCUUCGGGUUGUAAAGCACUUUUGUCCGGAAAGAAAACUUUCGCCCGAAUACGGUGGAGGGAUGACGGUACCGGAAGAAUAAGCACCGGCUAACUACGUGCCAGCAGCCGCGGUAAUACGUAGGGUGCGAGCGUUAAUCGGAAUUACUGGGCGUAAAGCGUGCGCAGGCGGUGAUGUAAGACCGAUGUGAAAUCCCCGGGCUUAACCUGGGAACUGCAUUGGUGACUGCAUUGCUGGAGUAUGGCAGAGGGGGGUGGAAUUCCACGUAGCAGUGAAAUGCGUAGAGAUGUGGAGGAACACCGAUGGCGAAGGCAGCCCCCUGGGCCAAUACUGACGCUCAUGCACGAAAGCGUGGGGAGCAAACAGGAUUAGAUACCCUAGUAGUCC
rnacentral:rRNA from 1 species